UUCCGCUGCUUGAAGAAAAUUCCACUGAAAACGCUCAGCUUUGGCUCUCUGUUGUUUUCAAUUGUUCGCACAAAAUUUACCGUCACUACUUCACUACUUCACUUUCGUAAUUUUUUACUUAUGUACGUAUAUUUUAUUUAAAUUCACAAUAUCGAUUUUCUUAAAAUUAUUUCAUCGUUUUUUUUUAUUUACUUAAAUUUUUUUAUGUUUUUUUUUAGUUCUCAAAUAUAACUACUAGAGCACAGACACACAGAAAUUCGAGAAACUCGUUGAUAUGCACGCCGUUAACUAUCUUACGCCACUUCAAAUACUUUCUUGCUCUUCCUGCCGUAACAACGAUCCUUUCGAAAGUAAACGUCGUCGCUAAGUCACACACCGACUGACGGUGCGCGUAAACUGGUUCGUCGCUUUAUAGGCUGCGAGUGUGUGUCGAUCAAGUUGAAGAGCCAAUAAAUGACGAAGCAACACAGCAAAAGCAAAAGCCUAAACUAACUACCAACCAACUCUCACACCCACCACAACAGCAUGCAUCGAUCGAUGGCCGAUAAAACGCGACGUUGCAACAACAAUGCAUAAACGAACAACAAACGAAGUCGCAUACGACGACAAAAUAUGUAAGUAAAUAAUCACGAGAAGUUCACAAAACAAAACGAUUUGAUUACGCCGGCAACAAGUGUUAUGAGAUCAAUACGCUCUAACUAGUACUCUGUGUUUGCUAAUGCAUAGGUAUGCGUACAAGUACUCGUGAAUAAAAAGUAAUUGACUAUUUCGGAGCAAGAUUUCAGAUGGAUAUUAAGUUCAACGAAGGGCCCAAUCGAGCUCUUGACUCUGCUUUGUCAGCUCAAUUGUGAAAAUAUACAUGUCGUCCGAACGGACGAAAACACUUCAGCUCUAAAAGUAU